rfam:Cavia porcellus supercont2_64 genomic scaffold, whole genome shotgun sequence.
AUACUUCCUGGCAGGGGAGAUACCAUGAUCAGGAAGGUGCUUUUCCUGGGGCGAGGCUUUUCCAUUUCACUCCAAAUAUGCUGACCCUGUGAUUUUCCCAAAUGUGGGAAACUCAGCUACAUAAUUUGUGGUAGUGGAAGGCUUCAUUUAUGUUCUACCAC